AUUGAACGCUGGCGGCGUGCCUAAUACAUGCAAGUCGAACGGAGUGGCGCACGGGUGUGUAAUAUAUAUCUAAUCUUCCCCUUGCUGGUGGACUACAGUUUGAAAUGUCUGCUAAUACUCCAUAGCAAGGGAUGUGACUAUAUCGUAUCAACUAGUCGGUGGGGUAACGGCGUACCGAGGCUAUGACGCGUAACUGGUCUGAGAGGAUGAUCAGGAACAUUGGAAGGGAGACACGGGGGAGAAACAGAGGGGAGGGAGCAGAAGGGAAAAGUGCGAAAUGGGGGAAACACAGAAGGAGCAACGGGGGGUGGAGGAUGACAAUGGGCGGAGAGGAAAGUACAUUUGAUAGGGAAGCGGUACCUAACGAAUAAGCACCGGCUAAAUCCGUGCCAGCAGCCGCGGUAAUUC
rnacentral:rRNA from 1 species